rnacentral:rRNA from 1 species
GACGAACGCUGGCGGCGUGCUUAACACAUGCAAGUCGAACGGAAAGGCCCUGCUUGUUUGGGGUGCUCGAGUGGCGAACGGGUGAGUAACACGUGAGUAACCUGCCCUUGACUUUGGGAUAACUUCAGGAAACUGGGGCUAAUACCGGAUAGGAGCUCCUGCUGCAUGGUGGGGGUUGGAAAGUUUCGGCGGUUGGGGAUGGACUCGCGGCUUAUCAGCUUGUUGGUGGGGUAGUGGCUUACCAAGGCUUUGACGGGUAGCCGGCCUGAGAGGGUGACCGGCCACAUUGGGACUGAGAUACGGCCCAGACUCCUACGGGAGGCAGCAGUGGGGAAUAUUGCACAAUGGGCGGAAGCCUGAUGCAGCAACGCCGCGUGCGGGAUGACGGCCUUCGGGUUGUAAACCGCUUUCGCCUGUGACGAAGCGUGAGUGACGGUAAUGAGUAAAGAAGCACCGGCUAACUACGUG